GGCCCGAGGAAAUUUUUAAAUUUAGAGUCUCUGAAAUGCCAUUUCCUGGACUUUGGGGAAGAUUUGCCAGAUUUCUGAUUGUCAGAAAACAGCAUUUUUAGUAUGUGGAAAUUUAGAAUUCAGUAGUACUAAAUGGGCGAAGGCGUAUUUAAUUAACGAUAUAUUGGAUAAGUUGCAGGAAAGUAUGGGUAAUAUCUUCAUUCUUUGCAGUUUGUCAUGGAUUAAAUGAUAAAGGUCUGCAUGAUUUUGAAAAAUGAAUGAUUAUUAGCAAAUUAUUGGGGGCUGCAGCUCCCCAGCCCCCCUCCCGCCCCCUGGAGAGGGUCUGAAGUUUUCUCUCCCAGAAAAUUUUUGUAUUUUUCUACCCCUAUGACUGCAAUUCCCUGCAUUUUCUGAAACAGAUUUUUGGAUAUACAGCAUUACAUUAUGCUGUAGAUAGACUGAACCUUCAGUUAAGUACUUGCUGACUUGCAUAGUAUGUUUAUGUAGAUACCACAACUUGGCCGUCACUUAGGGAGCCAGCUUGAUAAACUUAGAGUUCCCGACUCCCACGAAGCGCCACCAUGGUUGGCACAGAGCGGAAAAAUUUUGAAAAUUGUGCGUCUCUAAAUCGUCGGAAAUGGCAUUUUCAAAGUCUUCUAUACGUCUUUUGUUAGGC